ensembl:lncRNA
UUUGCCUCCUCCAGCAGCAGGAUGUGAGCCACCAGCAAGGAGGGACGCCAAUAAGGCAUCCGAUAAGAUAAGUCUUAUAAAAUAUAUAGAUAUAUGAUAAUCGAGACUGAGCUAACAGAUGAUGAAUACUAGUCAUUGGCCAAGCAGCUUUGUACCUAAUACAAGUUUCUGUGUAUUCAUUUGGGCCUAACUCGGGCAGGCGGCUGGCGUAAAGCUUACACGUGGCGGUGGGGCUCAGCGGCUUUUGGCGGAAAGAUUUAUCGUAACAGAGAUGGGAGCAGUACAGUACAGAUACUUAUAGCCGAAUAGUAGUCAUAAUCAUGGGAAUCCAGCAGAAGAGAUGGAGGAAGGAUUUUAGGAGGCAGAGUGUUCUAGGACACCAUGAGAAUACAACCCACAAAACAACUAAGCAGGGAUCAUAAUGGUUCACAGUUACUGAGCAAAAAUCAUGGACCCUGUUUGGGCCUGAGCUAGGUCCUCUGCAUAUGCAUUACAGUUGUUUCUUGGUAUUCUUGUAGGAAUGGGGGCGUAUACUUCUGACUCUUGCCUGUACUUGGGUCCCUUUUCUUCUUACUAGAUUGCUUUGUCCAGUCUUGAUAUGAGGGUUUUGCCUAGUCUUAUGAUAAGGUAUUAAGCCACGUUAUAUUGAUUUCUUUAAUAGACCUGCUGUUUUGUUUGAAUGGAAGAGAAGGAGCAGUGGAUCUUGGGGAGAGGAGAGGUGGGAAUGGGAGGAGUUGAGGAAGGGGAAACCGAAGUCAGGAUGUAAUGUAUGAGAGAAAAAUAAAUAUCAGAAAAGAAUAGUUGGACACCAUUUGGAAUCAGACAUUAUUCAGAUUAUUUUUCUGAUUAUCAAGAUUUAUUAAACCUCUCACUCAUGUCAACUAAUUUCCUCUUCAUAUCUUAUUACCUCUGUACCAUUAGUACCUCCAUUUUACGCUGGGCAUUGAUGGCUCACGCCUUUAAUCCUAGAACUCAGGAGGCAGAGGCAGGCGGAUCUCUGUGAGUUCGAGGCCGCCUGGUCUCCAGAACGAGUGCCAGGAUAGGCUCCAAAGCUACACAGAGAAACCUUGUCUUGAAAAACCAAAAGAAAAGUACCUCCAUUUUAUAGAAGAGGAAAUUAAGUCGCUAAAUUUACCUGCAGUGCUGUGAACACAGAGUUUGGGAUGAUGGAUCUGCAUGAUAAGGAUUAUGGAAGCUGUAUUUGAGAACCCCAUGGCAUUUAACAACAGAUAGAGAUUACUGUGUUAUUUUAAAAGAAUAGACACUAGUUGUAGGGGAUCUAGAAGUUAGCUCUCUGUGUUCCUGUGAAUAUGUUGCCACUUAGUCCUACAUUUCCUGGUGACAAAGUUCCGUGUUCCUAAUCUCUACAAAUCUGAAAACUGGACCUGGGAGGUGUCAGAAAAGAAAAAAAAAUGAUGUCAUAGGAAUCAAUUACUGAUAUUCUCUCAUAAAGACAGGGAACUCAAUAGUCCUGGGGUUUAGUAGUAUGUCAAAUUAGACAGACUACAAGUGCUCAAGGACUAAAUCCCCAGAGAAUAAUAUUCAUGGUAAUCCUUAGGAUACUAGGCCCAGGAUUUUGAUUCAGAAUAUUUUGCCACAAAAAACAGAAAUCUGCAUGUAUUGUAUACUCCUGUGGUUAUUUUGGAUGCAGUUUUUCUGUGCUGCUUUGCCAUUGGUGAAGAGUUAGACCAAACAGCCUUUCAAAAGCCUUCAAGUUCAUACUAUAUUUCACAGAAUACAGUUAUCAUGGUCAAGACAGAAAAACAUGGAGGAAUGUCAAUACCAUAGAAAUAAAUGUCAGCAGUAGCUUCAUGGGACAUUCACACUCUUGGUCUUAAGGGAUGUGAUAACUUUCUCAGUUUCUGGAAAUGUUCAAGACUUAGGCUAACAACUGAGCAAUGACAUUGCAAGAGUGGCAAGUACAUAGUUUCCUAUUCUCAUCUGUAAUAGAAGUCUUUCAUAAAAUGUGUGCUGUAUGACGGCUUGGUUGUGAAGAGCACUUUCUGCUCUUCCAGAGGCCCUGGGUUCAGUUCCUGACACUCACAUGAGGUGGAGAGUGAGGACCUGUAACUCCACCUCCACAACUAUCUAACACUUCUGACCUCAUCGUGCACUUGAAUUCGCAUGCAUAUGCCCCCAUAAGGACAUCCACAUGUGCAUAAUUGAAAUAAUAAAAAUAACUAUUAAAAAGUAUCAUUCAGAAAUACCACACUAUUAUUGGGCAUCAUUCUUAAGUGGAAAAAAGCCUUUUGUAAUGAAAUAUGCAGUCUUCUGGAUCACAAAGUGGCAGUGAUGGUGGUUAUAGAGGUGGAAAAUUAUGGUCCAUGGAUAAAACAUUGGAGUUGCAAUUUUUGUCAUGGUAGAAUCUUGGGCUCUUUGGCAGUGGAACCAGUAUUUCUCUCCAGUGCAAGGACUUUG